GUCCCUGUAGUGCAAUGGAUAACGCUUCGGAUUUAUGAUUCCAAAGUCGUAGGUUGGAAUCCUACCUGGGAUG